rnacentral:rRNA from 1 species
AUCUGGUUGAUCCUGCCAGUAGUCAUAUGCUUGUCUCAAAGGCCAAGCCAUGCAUGUCUAAGUAUAAACAAUUAUACAGUGAAACUGCGAACGGCUCAUUAAAUCAGUUAUCGUUUAUUUGAUAGUUUUCUACAUGGAUAACCGUGACUAACUGGGAACUAAUACAUGACGGCCUUCUGGCGUAUAUAUUGAUACAAACCAACGGUAUGGUGAUUCUUAAUAUCUUGUCGAACCGAUCUUCGGUGUAUCGUUCAAUUCUGCCUAUCAACGCUGUCGAUGGUAGGAUCAUUGGCCUACCAUGGUAACAACGGUAGCGGGAAUCGGGGUUCUAUUCGGAGGGAGCCUGAGAAACGGCUACCACAUCAGGAAGGCAGCAGGCGCGCCAAAUUACCCAAUCCUGACACAGAGUGGUGACAAUAUAUAACGAUCCGGGGCUCUUUGAGUUUCGGAAUUGGAAUAGUACAAUUUAAACACCUUAACGAGGAACAAUUGGAGGGUGAAGUCUGGUGCCAGCAGCCGCGGUAAUUCCAGCUCCAAUAGCGUAUAUUAAUGUUGUGCAGUUAAAAGCUCGUAGUUGAAAUUGGGCGGGCUAUUGGUUUGAGCCGCUUCAGGAAGAACUUCUUCCAGUUACUUUGAAAAAUUGGAGUGUUCAACGCAGGUUUCGCCUGAAUAUAUUAGCAUGGAAUAACAUAACGACGAGGUCCAUUUGUUGGCUUGCAAACCCACGUAAUGAUUAAUAGGGACGGUCGGGGGCGUCAGUAUUGUGUUGUCAGAGGGUGAAAUUCUUGGAUUACAAGACAACUACUGCGAAGGCAUUCGCCAAGGAUGUAUUCAUUAAUCAGAACGAAAGUUAGAGGAUCCAAGAUGAUCCAGAUACCGUCGUAGUCUUAACCGUAAACUAUGCCAUUUGAGAAUGGGUGCCAUAUACGGUAUCCGCGCUCUGAAAUCAAAGUGAUCAGGUUCUGGGGGAGUAUGGUCGCAGGCUGAAACUUAAAGGAAUUGACGGAAGGGCACCACCAGGAGUGGAGCCUGCGGCUUGUUGAUGACUCAACGAGGGGAAACUCACCAGGUCCAGACACAAUAGGAUUGACAGAUUGAUGGCUCUUUUCUUGAUUUUGUGGGUGGUGGUGCGCCAACGUUCUUGGUUGGUGGGUGAUUUGUCUGUAGUACGACAACGAACCUUGAGACCUUGACCUGCUAAAUAGCUCUGCGAUUGCGGGUAGCUAACUGUAGAGGGACUAUCUAUUACUACAGAGUAGAUGGAGAGUUCCAGAGGGCAAUAACAAGGUCUGCAUUGCCCUUAGACGUUCCUGGGCCGCACGCGCGCUACACUGACGGAACCAGCGAGUCGACCAAGCCGAGAGGGUGGAAGCCAAUCUUAAUGAAACUCCGUCGUGCUGGGGAUGAGCAUUUACGGUGUGCUCUUCAACGAAAUUCCCUAGUAAAGCGCAAGUCAUCGGCUUGCGUUGAUUACGUCCUGCCCUUUAACACACCGCCCGUCGCUACCGAUUGAAUGGUUUAGUGAGACAGCGGGAGGGCGAGAUGAGGGGCAACCCCUUUUGAACAUCAAACGGUCAAACUUGAUUAUUUAGAGGAAGUAAAAGUCGUAACAAAGGUUUCCGUAGGUGAAGACCUGCGGAAGGAUCGUGU